UCUUGUUGUUUUUCGGUAAAGUUCUGUUAAUUAAUCGUUAAUGGGAAUAAAAUCGGUUUGUAAGCUGUCCUGGGACGUUUUGUAAAGGACGGGAUAUAAAUAUUGUAAUUAAGUUAAAUUUAAAUUAAAAUGUUCUUUCGAUGUUGCUUGUUCCUCAGCAUUUAUUAUUCGUUAGUUGAUUGUUAGUCAUUAAUUUAACAGUGUUGAGCUUUCGGCAUUUGUUGUUCCUUGUUCACAAUAUCAGUGCUCUGGACUUAGCCUUACCGAGACCAUUUUGGAGCCAACAGGGCUUGAUGAUUGUGGCUUGAUUAGAAUGGUCUGCAUCCUGCUUGCUGAGGAUGAUGGGAGCUAUGCUUUUAAUAGGGUCAUGACCAGAUUUUGCCCACUAUGGCUUUCCUUAAUGUGGAUGUUGCCUCUGCAGGUAACACGUGUUUUAGCAUUCCCUGGUGCCCUGCAUAUGUGUGGGACUUCAGCUUCAGCCUUGCACAGCAUGGCAUGCAGUCCCAGCAGAUCUGGAGAGCCCCACGUGGGAAAGGCUGCUGCUCAUUUCUAUCUUGCCCUAGCAUGCAUGAAGUCACCCAGUGGUGGAGACCAGAACCUGGAUCUCUCCAAUCCCAGCCCUCUGCUCUAACCACUACACCACGUGUAAUCAGCUGAGUGGCUGCUGCUUUGUCUGCUUACCCAGUUCUCAUUCAGUUCCAGGAUGGGUGUCCGUCAUGCUCCCCGAUGUUUUGGACACAGGAGGAUUUCACUGGAACCUGUGAAAUAUGAUGACCCGCCAUGAGAGGAAGUGUGCUGCCCACCGAUGGUUGGCUUAUAUGGCCUUUCUCUUCCCUGUUUUACCUUCACAACAACCCUGAGAGUUUGGUCUGACCAGAAGUCAUGCACUAUGCUCCACAGCUGAGUCAGGAAUGGAAGUUGCACCCCCCAAGUCCCAGUCCAGCCCGGUGUCCUCUUUCAUGAAGACAAAGGCUCCAAGGGAAGAGGUUCGUUUUAUUUAGGGUUGACAGCAUUCCCUUGAGGGGGAUCUGCAGCUUGCCCCUUCAUCUGCUUUGCUCCAGAACUUGCUGUCAAAAGCACACGCCCCAGCCCAAAUGGCCAGGGCUGUGCCGAGGGGGAUGAGCAAGGAAGCGGGCCUGCUUCACAGGUCCUGCUAAAAAUACUUAGGCCCCGUCCUUCCCCAUCCCUUUUACCUUUUGUGCUGUGGCUUUAGGUGUUGCUCUCUGCAGACAGGGCCCAUCUCAAUCGAGUCUGGUCCAUGACUCCCAAGCAGAGCAGGUCAGAGCAAGCUGCCCCAGCUGGGCUAGGGCCUCUGGGAUACAAGCAGCCAAGCUCCCAGGGAGAGCAAACAAAGUUUGGUGGGGGAGUCCCCUAACAUUUUCCUGUUUUCUUUAUUUCACCUUAAUCCUCCCCAAUGCACACACUUGGAACACACUCCCAUUUACUAGUGAGGCUUGUUAAUCUUUAGUGAGGACUGGAGAAAGCACCAAUUGUCACGACAGCCCUCCAAGGCAGAACCACUUGGGUUUCACCAACAGUGGAUGAGGGAGACUCCACAGCGGCCUGCAACACAUCGUCUGCUCUCUCGCCUGAGAGGACCGUGUCCUGCACGUGCAACAGUUGCAAGCUAGUAGCCCUGUUACACGAAAAGGUGAGUGCACUGGAGCGGUGGGCGUCACCCUCAUGAUGAUAAAACAGUUUCUGGACAGCAGAGGAGCUUGCAACAGCUUAAGCACUCCAGACGCAAGAAGAGCAUCGGCAAGCCAUGGAGGCGGCAGAAGAGAACCCUUCGGGGAGGAAAAUGAGGAAACUCGCUGGAGCAGCGUGGCAGACACAGGCCUAGAAGGCCCUGCGCCAGUGGAACUCUCAACCUGCUUUAAAUUACUUGAGAAAGAGAUGGGUGAGGAACCCACUGUGAAAAAAAUGGAUAGCACAUUUGUGGAACUCUGAAAAAGAGAGAAAAGGCCAAGAAAGGGAAAAGGAGAAGAGAGUUGUGGGACAUUCCCUGUUCUGCAAGAUGGGAAAAUGUAUGUUGUGGCAACCCAGAGAAUCACCAAGGAUGCAGUCUCCCUGGUGCCAAUAUUGAUUUAUUUUGUUGGUUAUAUAUUGUAUUACUGUUUUUAUUCACUGUAAGCUACUCUGAUACAAUUGUUGUAAAGAACGGCAUACAAGUGUUUUAAAUAAAUUAAGCAUCCCCCUUUGCUUUUUCUGCAAGAAGCAUUUUCCCCUUUCUGGGGUUCAUGAGUGUCAGGAGUUUCUGUUAAUGGCACACAUUAAACACUGCUUGGAUCUGA